ensembl:snRNA U4 U4 spliceosomal RNA
AGCUUUGCGCAGUGGCAGUAUCGUAGCCAAUGAGGUUUAUCCGAGGCGCGAUUAUUGCUAAUAGAAACAAGGAGUCCUGUAAGGUGGCUAGACAGAAGAUAAAUAUUCACAAAUCAAUCAUUUUCUUGAACUCUCACAGCAGU